ACAGAUCGGUUUGAAUAUGAAGCCAAUCUUAUUGGAACGCUUAUUCAUUACAGCCAUUUCGAAGGUAGUGCCACAGGCAGUCCGGGUAGUCUCGGCAGCCUCAGUGCCAGUCGCCAUAGGAGUUACCGUGGCAACGGUUGGUGUAUUGGUAGUGAAGAACUUGCCCAGACGCGAUGAGUUCCAGACAGGACG